rnacentral:tRNA from 1 species
CGGCGUGUAGCUCAACAGUCCAGAGCAUCGGGCUAGGACCCGAAGGGAGCAGGGGCAGCACCUGCCACGCCGA